AAGUGGUGGGGUAGCGACGGGUCCGCUGCGGUCCCGCCUCGGUCCCUCCCAAUUGCGGCGUUAGCUGAGCCAUGCUGGUGGCAGCGCGCCCGUCGAGGUGCGGCUGCUGCGACUUGAACGUCCAGUGCGCUGCUGGGCCAUGGUCUUCGAAAAUGAAGGAUGGUGCUCGCCAACCCGAGGGACGUCUCAGCAAGGCAGACCUCUGGACCUUUGAACCUCUGAAACAGCGAACUCUGUUGGAAUUGUUUAGUGAAAUUUGAACUUGCCUAAAAAAGAAAAUAGUCAAGAGGCAAAAAUGGGAAUUGUUAUAAGUAGCAAUAAAAAGAGAGAAAUAAUGCCAGUCUUUGGGGAUGUACGUGUUGCUGAGAAAUCCAGGAGGGAAUGGGUGUUCUUGAAUCCCCUGCAGAGGGAAAUAAAUGACAAGACAGAAUUACUAUUAUGUUUUGUUAUGUUUGCAGGUAAAGGAACAACUGGAAAGUCACCAACAUCAAGGCGCUAUCCUUAAAAAGAUUUGUUUGUCGCUUGUCUUAAUGGGAUUGUGAUAAUGCAUAAUUGCUUUAAAGAUUACUUUCUUUUUAUGGUUUGAUUUUGAUAUUGAUGUAUAAAAAUAAUAUUGUCACCACAGGAUUUCCCCAAAGAGUCCUCCUUUUUCAUUAUUUCACAGCUACUGUCCAUUCCAAUUGUUACUGCUGCUGUAGACAAUGCCAGGAGGGAACAACCAGAAAACAACGUGGUUGGACCAAACCAGCAGUUUUCUGGCUGCUUACUCAUGCUCUACACAUGCUAUGAACAGAGGCCUUACCUGCUACAUAACAAGGAUUACUGUAUAAUCAGACAAAAAUGUAUUAACAGAAAGAGAGACAGCUGAUUACUGUGCAUUUUUGGGGAAGAUAAACUACUGAAACUUUGGGGCUCCAAAAAAGAAAGGGAGUUCAAAGAAAGCCUCUAUUACUGUUAGAUGCCAUAUCGUUUUCCCACAGUUGUUAAGGAAGCAGCGGUACUUGUGCUUUUUUUUCUCUGAAAGACAUUACUGAUCUAAGCAAGAGCAGUACCGACUUAAUUUUGUUUCAGAAGUUUCUCAUUCAGUUCAAUUUUGUUAGAAAGAAAACCUGACUGAAACAUCAUUAUGUGUGAAAAUCCAGCAAAAUAAUUGGAAAUAUCUGGCAUAAGCAGUAAUUGGUACACUUUUUUUAGCCUUUCCCUGUUUAGAUUUUCUGAGUUUACCUAGAAAUAAUGAUGGAUUUAUAAUGUUAGCUGGACGCAUAAUCUUGGCUCUCAUUAUAAAAUGGUCUUCAAGAAAAAUAGAUGAUUAUAUGUAUCUAUAAAGCUAUGUGUCAGUGAACUUCUUUUACUGACAUUUCUGUUACCAAGUACCUUUUAGAUGGUAGUGUUCCAGUAAGGAGGGAAAGGCUGGAAAUUUAGGUGAUAACCUCUAUUACUUCAGAAGGUUAUACAGAAGGCUUUAUUUCUAGAUUCUUUCUGUUAAUUCUGCCAUAAAUAAAGUACAGAUCGGUUUGA